GCUGUAGCUCACUGGUAGAACAUCUGCUUUGCAUGCAAAGGGAUCCUGGUUCAAUCCAGGUAAGGGCU